CCUACGGGUGACAGCAGUGAGGAAUAUUGGUCAAUGGGCGAGAGCCUGAACCAGCCAAGUCGCGUGAGGGAGUACUGCCCUAUGGGUUGUAAACCUCUUUUGUCGGGGAGCAAAAGCCGGACGUGUCCGGCUGUGAGAGUACCCGAAGAAAAAGCAUCGGCUAACUCCGUGCCAGCAGUCGCGGUAAUACGGAGGAUGCGAGCGUUAUCCGGAUUUAUUGGGUUUAAAGGGUGCGCAGGAGGAUUUUUAAGUCAGCGGUAAAAUCGUGGGGCUCAACCCCAUCCAGCCGGUGAAACUGUGGAUCUAGAGUGUGCGAGAGGUAUGCGGAAUGCGUGGUGUAGCGGUGAAAUGCAUAGAUAUCACGCAGAACCCCGAUUGCGAAGGCAGCAUACCGGUGCACAACUGACGCUCAGGCACGAAAGCGUGGGUAUCGAACAGGAUUAGAUACCCCUGUAGUC
rnacentral:rRNA from 1 species